CCCCACUCCCCUCAUUGAAACACCUUUAAAAGAUAUUUUUGAGUAACAGCAUAGCCAGUGUACAGUGACCUUUUCCUGAGGCAGUGUGACCUGUGACGCCGUAACAGGCAGAAGGCUCCAGCAGAGGAGAAUUCAGCUGUUCCCUAUCAAGUCUGGCGCUGAAGAGAUCUGAAGAGAUUCGAAGAGGUGUAAAGUGAUACCACCAGGUAAGCCACAGCUGCAUGUGUCCAUGAUUGCAUGCCAUGUCCAGAAGACGGUGUUUCAUGUCGAACCUCCCCACCCUACCAUCAACCCUACGUCUUACGAAGUAAAUCAGCUGUCCCCGUACAGCUCUUUCCCAUGCCUCCAUGUCUCCAUGGCUGUACCCGUGUUCCUGGU